AUUGAACGCUGGCGGCAGGCCUAACACAUGCAAGUCGAACGAGUGGCGGACGGGUGAGUAAUGUGUGGGAAACUGCCUGAUGGAGGGGGAUAACUACUGGAAACGGUAGCUAAUACCGCAUACCAUCAGAUGUGCCCAGAAGGGAUUAGCUGGUUGGGGGGGUAACGGCUCACCAAGGCGACGAUCCCUAGCUGGUCUGAGAGGAUGACCGGCCACACUGGACUGUAGACACGGUCCAUACUCCUACGGGAGGCAGCAGUGGGGAAUAUUGCACAAGGGGCGCAAGCCUGAUGCAGCCCGGCCGCGUGUAUGAAGAAGGCCUUCGGGUUGUAAAGUACUUUCAGCGGGGAGGCGUUACCCGCAGAAGAAGCACCGGCUAACUCCGUGCCAGCAGCCGCGGUAAUUC
rnacentral:rRNA from 1 species